CAGGGUGUGGCUAAGACAAGAACAAGCGUCUCCCUUACACUGAGAAGUCAUCCGUGCAAACCGGAUCACCCUGA
rnacentral:tRNA from 1 species